rnacentral:lncRNA from 1 species
GCUGGUUCUUCCAGGAGCGCGCAUGAGCGGACGCUGCCUACUGGUGGCCGGGCGGGAUGUAACCGGCUGCUGAGCUGGCAGUUCUGUGUCGCUAGGCUUCUGCCCGGCCGCCGCCGCACAUAAGCCACGAGGAGGAGCUUUACGACUUCCCGGUCUUCGGCGCCGGGCGCAGCAAGGGCCAGACUCUGCGCUAGCAGGCGCUGCGCGCCAACCGGCCGGCACCUGUCGCAGAAGGUGCAACCGAUCGCACUGUCGCGCAGAAGCUCCUCAAUGGCCAGCGCCAGCUGCAGCCCCGGCCGCCCACUCGCCUCAUCUGAGCCUGGCAGAAGGUAAGCAUGAGCAAAUUACUUUUUAGAGGUAACUUUGCUGAACUUGUGAAGAAUGGUGUGCAAGGUCCAGAGCGACUGCAGGAGAGGGAAGGUGGGAUUCCCACAGAGCAGGAGCACAGAUAAGCCAAGCAAGGCCCUGCUUGGAAGGCAGCAAUCAACAGAGAUGCACAGACCUGUGAGGGUGCCGGGACAGCCAUGCAACAAUGCAGCCCUUUUGCUUCCUGAGCUCACCAGUUCCCUCGCUCCACCUCUGAGAGGUGGUUUGGAGAAACACAGCCCUUCUCAAGAGGGCUGCAAGCUACUUAAGUCCUGAAAAUUUCCACAAGGCUGAGUCAAAUCUGCGUUUCAUCAUCUAUAAGAAAGGUACCUAUCGAGAACACCCUGCUGGCCAGUGUGUAAAUAUCUAAAGGAGGACUCAGAAAACACCGGGGAAGUCCAGCCUGCACGUGGUGGCUGGGCUUCAGUGAAGCAUGCAGCACAACAGGAGUUGUAAGUAGUAGUUACAUCAGCAGCCCUGGAAAUUCUGCUCAGAACCAAACUGAACAAAUAACAUUAUCUAAGGCUUACAAUUAUUUAACUCCCUAAAUUUUCUGUCCUCCCAGUAGCACUUUCAAAUGCCUAAAAGCAAUUAAAAGAAACAUUUUUCCAAUGUCUCACAGAACCAUUAGAAACACAAAAUUAAUAGCUUCAUAAACUAUAGCUUCUAUUUUAUCCAUAAUAGAAUGAAGGUGCAUAAACCACAUAGUAAUUAAUCUUUGGACAAAAGCAAACAAUAAAUGGAAUAUAUGGCUAAGAUCCUUUCUUUUUGAGUGUGGCCCAAGAUAAAAAUUUCUUCCAAAAGGGUAACAUUAAUGCAAUAAGGCUUUUGUGGAAUUCUAUUUUGUACGAAAUUCCUGUUUUCUAUUAGCUACUUCUUCCUCUGUGACACAAGCCUCAUUCCUUGUGAAAAACACGAAGCAGAAAACAUUCGUGAAAUCAUCAGGUAAAGAUCCCAUGACCGUUCUAUCACUGACACAGUAUGUAGGUACAUGGUACAACCCCCAAGGGACCACCUUGUGGCAUCCUCAGCAACCAC